rnacentral:rRNA from 1 species
UACGGAGGGUGCGAGCGUUGUCCGGAAUCAUUGGGCGUAAAGGGCGCGUAGGUGGCCCCUCAAGCGGGCGGUGAAAGUCGGGGGCUCAACCCCCGAUCGGCCGUGCGAACUGGGGGGCUGGAGCACUGUAGAGGCAGGCGGAAUUCCGGGUGUAGCGGUGAAAUGCGCAGAUAUCAGGAGGAACACCGGUGGCGAAGGCGGGUCUCUGGGCCGAUACUGACGCUGAGGAGCGAAAGCGUGGGGAGCGAACAGG